UGCUUGGAUACCUUUAUUCCUCUUUCGUCUUCCCCUUUUUGCGAGAAUCUCAAUAAACCCCAUCGAUCAACAAACCCCUUCCAGGAUUGCUUCCAAAAUUGAACGACGAUUUCUCAUCGCUUGGUACAACCGACCAACUACAGGGAACAUCAACGGUCUAGGCUAUGUACAUACGUUUCUUUAUGUGUGUGUGCUGAAUCGAUGACGAUAGUAUAAGGAAUUAGGAUGUCGAAGGUGUAGAGUCGGAUAAUAACCCAACGCCGGUCACUUACAUAUUUGGACCGAUCGGAUACCACUGAUCGAAAUUGUGUCUGUAAGGACUUCUAGCCCUAAAAAUCACCAUUAACGCCUUUAGAGGGAAACAUCGACACCUCAACCGCUUCUCAACGUCCCUCUCACCGACUCUGUUUUUUUUUUCGUUCCUUUCCCUUCACCGCUUCCUUACCAUUAUGAACACCCGCUCUGUUGCUUCUCCACCGAUGUCUGCUCAGAUAUGCGUCUCCACCGAUCUUCCAACAGUUGUUUUCGAUUGUUUUUGAAGCUUUCCUGAUGACGGAUGUGCCACCGACUACUUCCACUUUCCCCUUCUCGCGACAAUCCGAUGGAGAAGAAAGCCAUGAGUCUUGCAAGAAAGGCGGUGGACCGACAAAUUUUUUUCCCCAGUGGCGACCGUCCCCAUCUCCAUCUCCGUCCGUCUCCACCGCAAUCCCAGGUAAACACUAAACUAGGGUUAGUUCGAUGCCCAAGACGCCAGAAAGUUCUUUUGGAUCCACCAGAAGUUUUGGUCUAUGAAUGUGGAGGCUGUAAUUCAAUUCUUGUAGUGAAGGAGAAAAAUGAUACAUUUGAUUAGGGGUGAGCAGAAACCGCACCGCAACUAAAAUUAACCGCAAAAACCGCAACUGAAAAACCGCAACCGCAAUAAAAACCGAUGGUGAGGUUUACUGUUUUUCAAAAACCGCAAAUUUGCGGUGCGGUGCGGUUAUUAAUUUUCAAAAACCGCAAAAAAAAUGCACCGCACCGCAUAUAUUAUAUACAAUUUUUAAUUAAUUAUUAAUAUAUUAAAUAUUAAAAAUAAGACAAGUUUCAUGAAUAAAAGAUGGAUAAAAUACUAGAAGACAAAAGUGCUGGUUUUUUCUUAUGUUUAACUUAGAAAAAUGAUGAAAUUAGACAAUUUUAAGAUAUUUAUUGUUAAUUAGUAUUUAUUUGACGUUUUUAAGAUAUUAGUUAUUUGUGAUUUAAGUUAUUUGUCUUAUACUUUAUGGUUUUUUUAUUAUUAUUACAAUUAAUAUGUUUGAACUUUUAAAACCGUUUAAGCUCUAAACUGUGGUUAAAAACCAUACAAAAUAACCGCAACACAAAAAAACAAAACCGCACAGCAAAAAUAACCGCCUAACCGCACCGCAAAAAUAACCACACCAUGCGGUUUUGAAAAUGGAUUAACCGCAUUUGCGGUUAGUGGUGAGGUUUUGGCUAAUAACCGCACCGAACCGCACCGCGCUCACCCCUACACUUGAUACAGAGAUAUUAGAAGCUCAGGUUGCUCAGGGGACAACGAUGUAUACUCAAAGUAUACCUCCAUCUAACCCUGAAAGUACUUCAGAUCGUACGCUAAUAACUCGCCCAAAGCCAAACAACUUCAAAAUCCCCCUUCAGGCCACAAAAGAUUGUACUCAACACUUCAACCAAAGAAACUUCAUCGGGAAAGGUCUACAAGGGAGUCCUCUUCUAGGUGGAUCAUGUAAACCACCUGGUCACCGGGUUUCAAGGUAACAAGGAGUUCCACACUGAGCUCACAAUGCUUUCACGAUUAGAUGUCCUUGUGACGCCUAAAAUCGAUUUCUUCAUGCGAAAUCGAUUUUUAUUUGGUAUGCAUAGAACCUGUUUGAUAAAAUUCCUCAACUAAAAGAGUUUCAAAAACUUUAAUUUUUAGGAAAUUUUUAAUUAUUUGUUUGUUUUAUUAUUUGUUCAAACAACUUUCCAGAGCCAUAUAUAGUUGUUUGCAGAACCAAGCUCUAACA